rnacentral:rRNA from 1 species
GACGAACGCUGGCGGCGUGCUUAACACAUGCAAGUCGAACGAAGUGGCAAACGGGUGAGUAACGCGUAAACAACCUGCCCGUCAGAGGGGGACAACAGUUGGAAACGACUGCUAAUACCGCAUACUGAAGGAGGGGCUUGCGUCUGAUUAGCUAGGUGGAGGGGUAACGGCCCACCAAGGCGAUGAUCAGUAGCCGGUAUGAGAGGAUGAACGGCCACAUUGGGACUGAGACACGGCCCAGACUCCUACGGGAGGCAGCAGUGGGGUAUCGUCCGCAAUGGACGAAAGUCUGACGGAGCAACGCCGCGUGAGUGAUGACGGCCUUCGGGUUGUAAAGCUCUGUUAAUCGGGACGCGGUACCGGAAUAGAAAGCCACGGCUAACUACGUGCCAGCAGCCGCGGUAAUUC